rnacentral:lncRNA from 12 species
AAAGAGGCACCUCUAUCCCCUCUAUAGUUCCUGACUAUACCAGAACUCUCACCAGCAACUGUUUACUGUGAGCCACAAAGCAUAUAGGAAAUCAAGAUACUUGCUACAUUUUGGUAUUCUCUACUGCUGGUUUAUUUGUGAGGCUCAAGAUCCCUGGUCUGCACAUAUCCCUCUAUAUGGUGAGAUGCUUUCGUAAACUACCUCAUCACUAUCUUAUCGAAUAAGAGAGCCAUAUUCUUUUACACAAGCGAAGAAAUGGAACCUGCAAAUUACACUAGGGUGACGGAAUUUGUUCUCACUGGCUUAUCCCAGACUCGAGAGGGAAAAGACUACUGCCUCAGGAUGCUCUCCAAGGCAUUAUACUGUGACUAUAUAUUUGUUGAAAAC